GCGUGACGCCGGGCCCCUCUGACGGUUCCUACCGCCAUGUCGGAGUCACAGC
rfam:Pseudomonas sp. HPB0071 genomic scaffold aczIi-supercont1.2, whole genome shotgun sequence.